CAGAGUUCAUGCCCUUACGGGUAGAUCUCCCACCCUUGUAUAUUAUAUUAUAUGUUGCUUUGGCGGGUUCACACCCGCCAGAGGACCCAAACUCUGUGUUUAGUGUCGUCUGAGUACUAUAAAAUAGUUA
rnacentral:misc_RNA from 1 species